rnacentral:rRNA from 1 species
GAGUUUGAUCCUGGCUCAGAUUGAACGCUGGCGGCAUGCCUUACACAUGCAAGUCGAACGGCAGCACGGGAGCUUGCUCCUGGUGGCGAGUGGCGAACGGGUGAGUAAUGCAUCGGAACGUAUCCUGGAGUGGGGGAUAACGUAGCGAAAGUUACGCUAAUACCGCAUAUUCUGUGAGCAGGAAAGCGGGGGACCCUCGGGCCUCGCGCUCUUGGAGCGGCCGAUGUCGGAUUAGCUAGUUGGUGGGGUAAAGGCUCACCAAGGCGACGAUCCGUAGCAGGUCUGAGAGGAUGAUCUGCCACACUGGAACUGAGACACGGUCCAGACUCCUACGGGAGGCAGCAGUGGGGAAUUUUGGACAAUGGGGGCAACCCUGAUCCAGCCAUGCCGCGUGAGUGAAGAAGGCCCUCGGGUUGUAAAGCUCUUUCGCGAGGGAAGAAAUUGCACCGGACAAUACCUGGUGUAGAUGACGGUACCUUGAUAAGAAGCACCGGCUAACUACGUGCCAG